rnacentral:lncRNA from 1 species
UCUGUAAAGAUCCAAGAUGAUUGCCGAGGUCCAGCCCCAGCAGCCAGGAGUGCCGAAGGAGAGGAUGGCUACAAACGGCGCGGAAAGAAUUGGAGCCAACUCCUCAGCUGCAUGCUGCAGAUGACCCAAUUUAUUAAAUGAAAAGCAUCAGUUUUGUACCAUUUCACAAUCAGAUUUCGUGUAAGAUUUAACAUUAACAUUUGAUUUAAAGCCCUUUUGUUCCCUCCACCCGAGAUACAAAAAAUAAGCUUAGUUAAAACAUGUUCCUUUCAACUUCAGAUUUUCCUACAAGAUUACAACUUAAAGUUUCACACUGUAUUUUUCUUAAAAGGUCAACAACAGUAGCUGUUCUAUUCUAUAUUAAGAACAAAGCUUUAAUAAGUAAUAAACUAUGAUACCUAACAUUAACUAAAGGUGUAUGUGGUUAACAAAACACAUGAAAGCUUUGGGCUCAUGGCAUUCCUAAAACCACGAUUUAUUUGGCGCCAGGCAAGCUAAGCAUUUAACCUAUGUACUGAUUUACGUAAGUUCCAAACCACCAAUUUCAAUAGAAAGGAGUAUUAUACCCAAAAAUUAACAAAUGCCCCCACAAGGGAUGAAAGCUACAAGUGACACUGUUAAAAAAUAUAUCUAUUAUAGAAAAUAGCAAUUUAUAGGCCAAACAACAUUUUCCCAGUCUCAAACUUCUUUUUAAGUAAAGGGACUGAAAUCAUAAGUUUCCCUGAAUACUCUCACAAAUAGGUGCCAUAAAUUGUUACUCCAAAACAAAGGCUUUUUCCAUUACAUUGUUUAAACAACUUCAUUCUGUUUUGGUUCAAGUGUUUUACGUACCCAGGGCAAAUCUUUAGCAGUAAGAAAGCUGUGAAUAGAGAUAGAAAAGGAAAGAUAAACACAGAAAAAUAGAUUAACAUAUUUUUAGGGGAUAUCAUUUUUAUUUUCCUGGAACCGAUGUCUUUCAAGGGAUUGCUCUGCAAUCCUUCUUCUUUCUUCAGCUUGUCUGUAGCUCUGCUAACCAGACAAGCCCCACGCAUCCGCAAUCCUUCUUCUUUCUUCAGCUUGUCUGUAGCUCUGCUAACCAGACAAGCCCCACGCAUCCGCAAUCCUUCUUCUUUCUUCAGCUUGUCUGUAGCUCUGCUAACCAGACAAGCCUCAUGCAGGUGCCGACUGUGGCUUUGCUUUCUUUACUGGAGCAGCCCUAUGGCUCCCGACAGAUGAUGUUUUAGGUGAAUAUUCCUUUUUUGAAGAAAUCUUAGGAGUCUCUGUUA